rnacentral:misc_RNA from 1 species
UACGUAGGUGGCAAGCGUUGUUCGGAAUUACUGGGCGUAAAGGGCGCGUAGGCGGAAUAUCAAGUUAGGGGUGAAAGGCCCGGGCUCAACCUGGGAACGGCCUCUAAAACUGAUAAUCUUGAGUCCGGAAGAGGAUGGCGGAAUUCCCAGUGUAGAGGUGAAAUUCGUAGAUAUUGGGAAGAACACCGGUGGCGAAGGCGGCCAUCUGGUCCGGAACUGACGCUGAGGCGCGAAAGCGUGGGGAGCAAACAGG